rnacentral:tRNA from 1 species
UCUAAUAUGGCAGAUUAGUGCAAUGAACUUAAGAUUCAUACAUAAAUUAAAUUUUUAUUAGAA